UGUUUCAGAGUGCAAAAGUCUAAUAGAUUUGCAGGACAUACUCACGGGUAUUUCUCAAGGGAAUGAAAAACAAAGACAUGGGACCAGGACUCCGUUGAAAUCGAUACCGGACAUACAAGAGGUACCGGCUGAAUGGGUUCCAAACCUUUUGAAAGAUCCUUCUCACACAUCUAUGAAUUAUGCAGUCACUGACCUGAGUGGUGGUCCCAAACCACCCUCCCCGAUUGAGGACAGCUACAGAGUGCACACACGCUAGGGUGGGUCUACCUUGGGUUGAAAUUGGCGUUUGAAACCUCUGUAUGUUGCUCAAACCUUUGUUUUUGUUUUUAAAUAAUAUAGUUGCACACAAAUUAUGAAUUGGUAUUACUAUAAAUAAUGUCUUUGGAUCAGUAAUGUCUUAAUCACCACUGAAUUCACAUACAAUCUGAAAGGAGAAAAAAUCAUGUAAAUAUUAUAAAAUGAUAAACAAACACCUUCAGAAUACUUAGAACUUGGAUUAUAGUACUUUUUUAGGUUCCAGUUUUGUACAAUUAACAGACGCUUUAUCUCUUUCAAAAACACAACAGUUAAUUAAAGACUGGAGGAUAUGCUUUGAAAAUGAUGCCAGUAGAGUAAAUGGUGUAUAUCUCCUCAUGCUAGUUUUCUUUUCUCUUUUAUUGCCACUGUCCUCAAUACAGUGGAUGAGAAUUGCUAAAGCUGCAACAGCUUUGGUGGUGAAUAAAAUGAUUAUGGCCAGAGAUAAUUGCUGAUAAGGUUGUAAAUUAACCCUCCAAUUUAAACUAUAUUGCUUGAGCUUUGCUUUCAAGUAUAUUAUUUUCUCAUGUACAGUACAUGUGAGCCAUAUAGCCUGUUUCUUUACGACUGAAGGGAGGGACAUUUCCUGUCCAGCUUACCAUUUUAGGAAAGCAGCAGCUGUACGAUCUGGGAGCCCGAAUAAGAAAAACAUACAUAGAGAAGUUCAACUUUCUCUCCCCGAUCUUCAGGUCUUCAGAAGUCUAUGUCUGUUCCACUAACAUUGUACGAACCAUCGAAUCUGCAACGUGCUUGCUGGCUGGGUUAUUUCAGCAGAAGCAGGAAGACACAGAUGGACUGAGUCUGCUUUACUCCCUGACAUCGUUGAGGAUCUGAAACGGAUACAGAGCUUAUUGGGGAUUGUUGGGCACAAACAUGUAGAUUUCAUUCAAAUACAGGACGACCUGGUGGCUAAAGAGGCACAUGGUUUACCGUGUCCCACCAUGCUGAAGAACUGGCAGAAGACAGUUGAAGAGCGAGCUGUGGAAAUGGUAUAUUACAUCUAUGAACCAAGUAAAAGGAGCAGCUUGUCAGAGGCUGCACUGAUGUCGUCUGCCCACUGAAUGAAUUCAGAAAAGCCCUUUUACCCUACAUGCUGGAUUCCAAGAGACAUGGUGCUCUCUGUAAUCAAACUGAAAAUAUUACUAAAUGAAUAGUGGUUUACUUGAAUUUUGGUAUUUAUUCAUUUUCUGACAAUACCAGAUCUUGGACUUGGGAAGACAACAGUAGUGCUAAUCAGGGUCUGUGAAUCCAUGUUAGUAUUUUUGUUUUCAUAAUUUUUGGCGUCUUGCACUGAAAUAAAUAAACUGGAUGGUAUUUUCAGUAGCAAAUACAGGGCUUGAGUAUUUUCUUUGAGUUUGAUUUAGAAAGUAUAACUUAAAACACUCAAUGAGAUAAAACUAGAAGACAAGUCAAGUUGUGCACAAAUAUUUAUUCUGCCGUUUUAUUUUGUGGUUUUUUUUUGUCACAAUCAGUAUUUUGUUAAGCAGUAUAAGAUGUGAUCAGCAUUAAAAGAUUAUAUUGUUUAAAAGAUGGUGCUUAAAUAAAAAAUGGAUGCAAAGUAGGAAACAUUAGUCACAUUGCACAAGUGGGACUACAUAGGAUUGGAUACACGUGGAGAACAUAGGAAUGUCAGUAGACAAGUUCAUUUCUGCAAAUGUAAACAGAAUCCAUGGUCAAUAUGUCAUGAUGAGCAGCAACACAAUUCCCAUCUGGCAGCUCCUUUUCCUUUACCUGGGGAUAGUAGAGUAUGGUUGUGCUUGUCAACAGGUGGCUAAGUGAUAUUUACCCAAAGGUUUGCAUUAGGUCUGUGAAACUGAACAGGGCAAUUCCAUGGCUAAACAACCAGGACUGCUCCAGUCUGACCAUUACAAUACAUGUGUAUUGUUUGUGUAUUUGCUAAAAGCAUGCACAAUUUCAUCAAUAUAUCUUGAAUAUGGGUCCUAGAAGCACAGUACCCAAAUAUAGAUUAUAAAAAGCUGUCCAUAUAAAUAAUUUUUCAUUUUAUUGCAUUGCACAAACUAAAAACAUAGCUAUAAAUGUUUAAUUGUUUUUUGAAAAAAAUAUGAUUGCACCUAUUAAAUAAUAACAUUUUUGCUUAAAUUCCUGUUUGUUGUUCAAAGUUGACCAAGAGUUCACGUUUUCAGGUUUU